ACUUUUUAAACAUUUAUCAUUCAAUCCUAAGCAAGUUCAUGUAAGCUCAGCAGACAGAGGUGGAAGGAAUGAACUUUGAGGAAAAACUACUAGCAACAAAGUGCAGAGCACAGAAAAUCGCAUAUUCUGAACUAAAUGUCAAGUAAACAGGUCUGCAUCUAGCUAUUUGUCUGAUCUCCAAACCAGAUACUUAUGCUGAUCUACAGCACCUUAUUUUAUCUCUCUGCAAAAGAGGAGUAAAAAAGAGCUGCACAGAGGGACUAGCCAUUAUCUCCAAUUUGUGUGUGGAAGGCAAAGCUUCUAAUUAUACACUGCAAAGAGUGCAUUUUUUAUAAAUAGCACCAAUUGUUCUGCUGGGACAUUCUCAUCUGAAUCAGCUCCUCUGAAGCCUUGCAGCCUGUCUCCCAUGUACAAG
rnacentral:lncRNA from 1 species